rnacentral:rRNA from 1 species
UACGUAGGGUGCGAGCGUUGUCCGGAAUUAUUGGGCGUAAAGGGCUCGUAGGCGGUUUGUCGCGUCGGGAGUGAAAACCAGGUGCUUAACACCUGGCUUGCUUUCGAUACGGGCAGACUAGAGGUAUUCAGGGGAGAACGGAAUUCCUGGUGUAGCGGUGAAAUGCGCAGAUAUCGGGAGGAACACCGGUGGCGAAGGCGGUUCUCUGGGCCUUACCUGACGCUGAGGAGCGAAAGCGUGGGGAGCGAACAGG